ACCAAGAUGAUGAACUGAACAUAUGCAAAACAAAUUAUAGUAGUAAAACAUUUCAAUUAAAUACAUUUUACAACGACAUGUCUACUUUGCAUUGCAGGUCAGUGGAAGCAGUUUUGUGAUGACCUGAUAAAGAUCAAGGUGCCCUCACCCAGGAAAUCAAAUUUGGUCACAGCGAAGCAGGGGUCGCUUUAUCACGAAAUAGUCACUCCAUAUUCCCCAGGUGAGGUUGUGGUGAUCCAGGAUAACUCUGUCUGCUGAGGUGCAGGCCUGCUCUCAUCCUACGAUAACAGCGGAGCAGUUGAAGGAUCUUCCAAGAGUGCCAGGUUGUCCCCGUCAAGUGGACCAUCAUCACAAUGGUAUCUGCAUUGUCCAGGACAGGAUCCACCUCUCCCAUUGUACUACUACUAAUAAUACAUGUGACAAAACAUCAAACAAAACAUCAGAAUAAACAAAAACAUGUAUAAAGAGAGGGGUGGGCUCAAAGAAGGGAAAGAG